rnacentral:rRNA from 1 species
CAGCAGCCGCGGGAAUACGGAGGGUGCAAGCGUUAAUCGGAAUUACUGGGCGUAAAGCGCACGCAGGCGGUCUGACAAGUCAGAUGUGAAAUCCCCGGGCUUAACCUGGGAACUGCAUUUGAAACUGUCAGGCUGGAGUCUUGUAGAGGGGGGUGGAAUUCCAGGUGUAGCGGUGAAAUGCGUAGAGAUCUGGAGGAAUACCGGUGGCGAAGGCGGCCCCCUGGACAAAGACUGACGCUUAGGUGCGAAAGCGUGCGGAGCAAACAGGAUUAGAUACCCCGGUAGUCCCUGUCUCUUAUAC